rnacentral:rRNA from 1 species
GACGAACGCUGGCGGCGUGCUUAACACAUGCCAGUCGAACGGAAAGGCCUGCUUUCCCUUGUGGAUUGCGGGUACUCGAGUGGCGAACGGGUGAGUAACACGUGAGUGAUCUGCCCCCAACUUGGGUAUAAGCCUGGGAAACUGGGUCUAAUUCCCGAUAGGACUGCAGGGUGGUGCCUGUGGUGGAAAACGAUUUUCUAGUGGUUGGGGAUGAGCUCGCGGCCUAUCAGCUUGUUGGUGGGGUAAUGGCCUACCAAGGCGGCGACGGGUAGCCGGCCUGGGAGGGUGGACGGCCACAGUGGGACUGAGAUACGGCCCAGACGACUACGGGAGGCAGCAGUGGGGAAUAUUGCACAAUGGGCGGAAGCCUGAUGCAGCGACGCCGCGGGGGGGAUGACGGCCGUCGGGUUGUAAACUCCUUUCGACCGCGAGGAAGCCACCUGGUUGGAAGGGUGGUGACGGUAGUGGUAGAAGAAGCACCGGCUAACUACGUG